rnacentral:rRNA from 1 species
AUUGAACGCUGGCGGCAGGCCUAACACAUGCAAGUCGAACGAGUGGCGGACGGUUGAGUAAUGUCUGUGAAACUGCCCGAAGGAGGGGGAUAUCGAUUGGAAACGGUAGCUAAUACCGCAUACCCUCGGAUGUGCCAAGAUGGGAUUAGCUAGUAGGUCGUGUAACGGCUCACCUAGGCGACGAUCCGUCGCGGGUCUGAGAGGAGAACCAGCCACACGGGAACUGAGACACGGACCCGACUCCUUCGUGAGGCAGCAGUGGUGAAUAGUGCACGAUGGGCGCAAGCCUGUAGCAGCCACGCCUCGUGUAUGAAAAAGACCUUCGGGUGAUAAAGUACUUUCAGCGAGGGGGCCUUACUCGCAGAGGAAGCACCGGCUAACUCCGUGCCCGCCGCCGCGGUAAUAC